rnacentral:rRNA from 1 species
GCUGGCGGCAUGCCUUACACAUGCAAGUCGAACGGCAGCACGGAGCUUGCUCUGGUGGCGAGUGGCGAACGGGUGAGUAAUAUAUCGGAACGUACCCUGGAGUGGGGGAUAACGUAGCGAAAGUUACGCUAAUACCGCAUACGAUCUACGGAUGAAAGUGGGGGAUCGCAAGACCUCAUGCUCGUGGAGCGGCCGAUAUCUGAUUAGCUAGUUGGUAGGGUAAAAGCCUACCAAGGCAUCGAUCAGUAGCUGGUCUGAGAGGACGACCAGCCACACUGGAACUGAGACACGGUCCAGACUCCUACGGGAGGCAGCAGUGGGGAAUUUUGGACAAUGGGCGAAAGCCUGAUCCAGCAAUGCCGCGUGAGUGAAGAAGGCCUUCGGGUUGUAAAGCUCUUUUGUCAGGGAAGAAACGGUGAGGGCUAAUAUCCUUGCUAAUGACGGUACCUGAAGAAUAAGCACCGGCUAACUACGUGCCAGCAGCCGCGGUAAUACGUAGGGUGCAAGCGUUAAUCGGAAUUACUGGGCGUAAAGCGUGCGCAGGCGGUUUUGUAAGUCUGAUGUGAAAUCCCCGGGCUCAACCUGGGAAUUGCAUUGGAGACUGCAAGGCUAGAAUCUGGCAGAGGGGGGUAGAAUUCCACGUGUAGCAGUGAAAUGCGUAGAUAUGUGGAGGAACACCGAUGGCGAAGGCAGCCCCCUGGGUCAAGAUUGACGCUCAUGCACGAAAGCGUGGGGAGCAAACAGGAUUAGAUACCCUGGUAGUCCACGCCCUAAACGAUGUCUACUAGUUGUCGGGUCUUAAUUGACUUGGUAACGCAGCUAACGCGUGAAGUAGACCGCCUGGGGAGUACGGUCGCAAGAUUAAAACUCAAAGGAAUUGACGGGGACCCGCACAAGCGGUGGAUGAUGUGGAUUAAUUCGAUGCAACGCGAAAAACCUUACCUACCCUUGACAUGGCUGGAAUCCUCGAGAGAUCAGGGAGUGCUCGAAAGAGAACCAGUACACAGGUGCUGCAUGGCUGUCGUCAGCUCCUGUCGUGAGAUGUUGGGUUAAGUCCCGCAACGAGCGCAACCCUUGUCAUUAGUUGCUACGAAAGGGCACUCUAAUGAGACUGCCGGUGACAAACCGGAGGAAGGUGGGGAUGACGUCAAGUCCUCAUGGCCCUUAUGGGUAGGGCUUCACACGUCAUACAAUGGUACAUACAGAGCGC